UACGAAGGGUGCAAGCGUUACUCGGAAUUACUGGGCGUAAAGGGCGCGUAGGCGGCAAUUCAAGUCAUCUGUGAAAUCUCCGGGCUUAACCCGGAACGGUCAGGUGAUACUGUUUUGCUAGAGUGCGGAAGGGGCAAUCGGAAUUCUCGGUGUAGCGGUGAAAUGCGUAGAUAUCGAGAGGAACACCAGAGGUGAAGACGGGUUGCUGGGCCGACACUGACGCUGAGGAGCGAAAGCGUGGGGAGCGAACAGG
rnacentral:rRNA from 1 species